rnacentral:rRNA from 1 species
GACGAACGCUGGCGGCGUGCUUAACACAUGCAAGUCGAACGAAGAGCGACGGAAGCUUGCUUCUAUCAAUCUUAGUGGCGAACGGGUGAGUAACGCGUAAUCAACCUGCCCUUCAGAGGGGGACAACAGUUGGAAACGACUGCUAAUACCGCAUACGAUCUAAUCUCGGCAUCGAGGAUGGAUGAAAGGUGGCCUCUACAUGUAAGCUAUCACUGAAGGAGGGGAUUGCGUCUGAUUAGCUAGUUGGAGGGGUAACGGCCCACCAAGGCGAUGAUCAGUAGCCAGUCUGAGAGGAUGAACGGCCACAUUGGGACUGAGACACGGCCCAGACUCCUACGGGAGGCAGCAGUGGGGAAUCUUCCGCAAUGGACGAAAGUCUGACGGAGCAACGCCGCGUGAGUGAUGACGGCCUUCGGGUUGUAAAGCUCUGUUAAUCGGGACGAAAGGCCUUCUUGCGAAUAGUGAGAAGGAUUGACGGUACCGGAAUAGAAAGCCACGGCUAACUACGUG